rnacentral:rRNA from 1 species
AUACAACUUUCAACAACGGAUCUCUUGGNUCUCGCAUCGAUGAANAACGCAACGAAAUNCGANAAGUAAUGUGAAUUGCACAUUUUCANAUGAAUCACCCAAUCUUUGAACGCAACUUGCGCNCCUUGGUAUUCCNAAGAGCAAGCCAGUUUG